rnacentral:rRNA from 1 species
AGGCAGACGGCUCAGUAACGCGUAGCUCACGUCUCUAACCUAUGGACGGGAAUAACCUCGGGAAACUGAGUAUAAUGCCCGAUAGAACAUUAUACCUGGAAUGGUUUAUGUUCCAAAUGAUUUAUCGCCGUAGGAUGGGACUGCGGCCUAUCAGUUUGUUGGUGAGGUAAUGGCCCACCAAGACUAUUACAGGUACGGGCUCUGAGAGGAGUAGCCCGGAGAUGGGUACUGAGACACGGACCCAGGCCCUAUGGGGCGCAGCAGGCGAGAAAACUUUGCAAUGUGCGAAAGCACGACAAGGUUAAUCCGAGUGGUUUCUGCUAAAGGAACCUUUUGUCGGUCCUAGAAACACCGAUGAAUAAGGGGUGGGCAAGUUCUGGUGUCAGCCGCCGCGGUAAAACCAGCACCUCAAGUGGUCAGGAUGAUUAUUGGGCCUAAAGCAUCCGUAGCCGGCUUUGUUAGUUUUCGGUUAAAUCUGUACGCUCAACGUACAGGCUGCCGGGAAUACUGCAGAGCUAGGGAGUGGGAGAGGUAGACGGUACUCGGUAGGAAGGGGUAAAAUCCUUUGAUCUAUUGAUGACCACCUGUGGCGAAGGCGGUCUACCAGAACACGUCCGACGGUGAGGGAUGAAAGCUGGGGGAGCAAACCGGAUUAGAUACCCGGGUAGUCCCAGCUGUAAACUAUGCAAACUCAGUGAUGCAUUGGCUUGUGGCCAAUGCAGUGCUGCAGGGAAGCCGUUAAGUUUGCCGCCUGGGAAGUACGUACGCAAGUAUGAAACUCAAAGGAAUUGACGG